rnacentral:rRNA from 1 species
AGAGUUUGUCCUGGCUCAGGAUGAACGCUAGCGGGAGGCCUAACACAUGCAAGCCGAGCGGUAGAGAUCUUUCGGGAUCUUGAGAGCGGCGUACGGGUGCGGAACACGUGUGCAACCUGCCUUUAUCUGGGGGAUAGCCUUUCGAAAGGAAGAUUAAUACCCCAUAAUAUACUGAAUGGCAUCAUUCGGUAUUGAAAACUCUGGUGGAUAGAGAUGGGCACGCGCAAGAUUAGAUAGUUGGUGAGGUAACGGCUCACCAAGUCUACGAUCUUUAGGGGGCCUGAGAGGGUGAUCCCCCACACUGGUACUGAGACACGGACCAGACUCCUACGGGAGGCAGCAGUGAGGAAUAUUGGACAAUGGGUGAGAGCCUGAUCCAGCCAUCCCGCGUGAAGGACGACGGCCCUAUGGGUUGUAAACUUCUUUUGUAUAGGGAUAAACCUACCCUCGUGAGGGUAGCUGAAGGUACUAUACGAAUAAGCACCGGCUAACUCCGUGCCAGCAGCCGCGGUAAUACGGAGGGUGCAAGCGUUAUCCGGAUUUAUUNNNUUUAAAGGGUCCGUANGCGGAUCUGUAANUCAGUGGUGAAAUCUCACAGCUUAACUGUGAAACUGCCAUUGAUACUGCAGGUCUUGANUGUUGUUGAA